rnacentral:rRNA from 1 species
GACGAACGCUGGCGGCGUGCCUAAUACAUGCAAGUCGAGCGAUGAAGGAGAUACUUGUAUCUUUUGAAGAGCGGAGUACGGGUGAGUAACGCGUGGGGAAUCUGCCAAUGAGUGGGGGACAACAUUUGGAAACGAAUGCUAAUACCGCAUAAAAUCUAUUGAGACAUCUCAAGAGAUUGAAAGGAACAAUUGUUUCGCUCGUUGAUGAUCCCGCGUUGUAUUAGCUAGUUGGUUAGGUAAGGGCUAACCAAGGCGAUGAUACAUAGCCGACCUGAGAGGGUGAUCGGCCACAUUGUGACUGAGACACGGCCCAAACUCCUACGGGAGGCAGCAGUAGGGAAUCUUCGGCAAAGGACGAAAGUCUGACCGAGCAACGCCGCGUGAGUGAAGAAGGUUUUCGGAUCGUAAAGCUCUGUUGUUGUUAAAGAACGUUGAUGAGAGUGGAAAGUUCAUCAAGUGACGGUAAACAACCAGAAAGGGACGGCUAACUACGUGCCAGCCGCCGCCGUAA